rnacentral:rRNA from 1 species
UACGGAGGGGGCUAGCGUUGUUCGGAAAUACUGGGCGUAAAGCGCACGUAGGCGGCUUUUCAAGUCAGGGGUGAAAUCCCGGAGCUCAACUCCGGAACUGCCCUUGAAACUGGAUCGCUAGAAUCUUGGAGAGGCGAGUGGAAUUCCGAGUGUAGAGGUGAAAUUCGUAGAUAUUCGGAAGAACACCAGUGGCGAAGGCGGCUCACUGGACUGGUAUUGACACUGAGGCACGAAGGCCAGGGGAGCGAACAGG